UACACUGAUCGGGAAUUACCUUACGGUUUAAGUUAUAUCAAACAGAGUAUCAUUAAUGUUAGAAUUGCUGUUAUUGUUGUUAAUUACCAAUGUGUUUGAACGGUCAGUAAUUAAACAUCAGUCACUACGCUUAAAUACCAAUACUAAACGGGCUUUUUGUUUUCUCUUAAAUAAGACGUUUGCAUUUCCAUCCACAUUUUGUACCCAGGAUUCGCGCGGUUCAAUCUGGGAGUUUGGGGGCUCGAAACAUUGUCUCGGCGAGUCACUCUACGCUUGUUGCCAGCUUGGUACGAAUGUUUACACUGCAGAUGCUCACCAUGGUGGUUUUUGUAUCUUUUGAUAAGUGAAAGCACCUGUUUUCUUCACAUUAUCGGCUCGUUGAAGAUACAUUUUAGCGCUGGUUGGCUGGAAGCCCAAUGAAGCCUCGUCACUGUGUGUCAGAGAUGAGUUGGACAUAAAGAUGGUACGGUUGGGCAUAUCGUCCAGCUCUUCUGGGCAAAGAAAUGAUGACAGUAAUGUUUGCUCUCAGCCUGACAAUGAACUGCACUACUCUCCUGCAGUAGAAGAUAAUUUUCAUCAGCACUCUCAACAUCACCUCAUAAUUGAGCCUUCUAGAAGUUCAUCCCAUCACUAUGAAGUAGAAAAUUAUUCUGAACAAACAACUUCAGGGUCUCAUUUUCCUCCCAGUCAAGAAAUUCCUGAAGUCACUCCUCCAUCUUCCCAUGCCCUCUUGACAGUGCUCAGCAGUGGUGGUCAUACAAGUCAGUUGCAUCCUCCAGGGUGCUCACACAGGACAAUGAAAUCCCUCAGUGAUGGACAUGUUAGAUCUCAAAAGCGUUCUUUUCAAGAGAGUGACUAUUCUUCCCUUGACGUUCAUAGUGAAGGUCAGUAUGCUAGAGAAGUAAAAUGGUGCCCUGUUUGUCGAUCGCCUAUAAUGUCUGGUGUGGUCCAUCAGUGUUCAGGUAUGUUGCAACCUGAAUCCCAUACUUAUACUCAUAAGGUGAUUUCAGAUAGCACAUCACAACAAUUUAUGCCUACCACCACCCGAGAUUCCCAUGUGCCUAUCACACUGUCCUCUAUUACAUCUUCAACUAUUGUUGACAACUGCCAACGUGAGGUAGCAGAAGCAAAUAUUAGUCCACCUUUUUUAAGUAGAGUACCCAAUCUCUUGCCAAUAACACAAAAUACCCAACAUCAUUCACUGUCUUCUUCAGAAGGUACUAGACAAGCUGUUGUUAUAGCAAACCCUUCACUGACAAAGCCCAGUGUGCCACAACCACCACCAGUACACCCCAGCCUUGAGUCUCCUUCACAACAUGAGCAACAGUCAUCAUCAUCAUCUUCGUCCCAGAGAGAUUCAUCAGUGGGGAAGCCUUGUCAAAGUGCCCCGCCUUGGUCAGUGAACGAGAGCAACCCCUCGGCACAAGAGAGCAAUGCAUGGGAGACGCCUACCAGUCUCAUUUCUCGACUGACUGCAGGACUAACUGCGCAUUCCAUUCAGCAACAACAGCAGGAGGAGAAAGCCUUAUCACAUCGUAGUUGCACUUCUCCCUCCAUGAGUGAGAGCAGUGAUGUCUCAAGCUACUUUGGCCAGAAGGAGUUUGUCCAGACUGAAGAUCCUUUUCACAUGGCUCAUCAAAGAAUGAUAGAUGAAGUCAUGCAGCUAGAUCCACCCUCUAGUAGCAGCCAAACUCUGCACAUGAAAGUUCAACGAGAAAAAGGCAUCCGACCUGAGAUGGGCAGAGAAAGAAGGCGAAAGUAUACCAGUAGUGAGUCAGUUUCCUCUGAGCCAAUGCAUGGCGAGUCCAGUGUGUGUGGAUCACAGGAUUCUGAUGUGGAUGACAAUAGUAACAGUCGAUAUCUAGAUGAGAAUGGUCAACUGCCAGAUCUGGAUACACUUCUCAAGACAAUUAAACAACCACUUCUCUCAUCAUAUGUACCUGAUAAGUCAAAUAUACAAGAUUUUUUAGAGCCCGAUGAAAUUGGUCAUAUUAACCACAUGAUCAAAAGCCUUUCGGAUGCUGUGUUGACAAUAAGUUUGCCUGAUACUUUAUAUAAGAAUAAAGGUUUUACCCCACUGGAUUACAUGGAUAUCCAUUUAAAUGCCGUGAUACGUCAGUUCUUUUUUGUGUUCAAAAAUGAAGAUUUUUUGAACCUUAUGUUGUCAGAUCAGAUAGCAUUGUUAAAUGGCUGUUCUCUGCGAGCUGUGUGUUGUGCUGGGCUGUAUCUCUUCAAUAAGGACUCUGGGUGUUGGUAUAUUCCUGGCUCAACAAGCAGAAUCAGUCACCCAGUUGUUCAUGUCUCAGAUUUGCUUCAAGUGUACCCUCAGUACUUGGUCAAUAGAUUAUUUGAGCUGAAUACAGCUGCUGCUAAACUGGGAUUUGAUUGGCCAAUUGGAGUCAUUACAAACUGCAUCCUUAUGUACACUCCGAUAAAGAAAUUUAUCCAGGAGAUGGAUAAGGUAGACAUUUUAAGGAAUAAGUAUGUAAGUCUUUUAUUAAAAUAUAUUUCCUGGAAACAUGGGCAUCACAAUGCAUCAUUGAUAUUUCCUGAGAUCUUGAAAGUUUUAGAUGCAUUACUUCUUCUUGUUGAGGACCUGUCAUCAGUUACCCUUAAUCUUAGUGAGGAUGAGGUGAUGGCUGUUGAAGAAAGGUUGUCCACUCUUACUUUAUUACAAAUUGCUCCCUUGAAAUGUCAUACAAGUAAGCUCAAGGAAACCGUGGCUUCUUGGUCAUCUUUGGAAUGUGUAAAGCUUGGAGAUAUUCAGAACAGAUUGUGUAUGGCAUUGCAGUUCAAUAUGCUGGACUCCAUCCAGUCAAGUACCGCUGAGUAUUGGACAACAAGUAGUAUGUAUUAUGCUUCCAAUCUCUCUCGAGAUAAUCAUUUUAUCACACAGCAGAAGAACUUGCCUCAGAUUUUGCCUUCAUCUGACAAAAGUUUCCAGAAAGGUCAUAUAUUUAAUCAGUUAUCGUGUGUAGAUGAGAAACCUUCACAACCAUGUAAUGAACUUAAAAAGAUUAAUAGUUUUCUUGCAGAAAAAGAUUUGGUGUUGUUGAGACGAUUUUUAGAGGAUGUCACAGGCAGGGAAAGCUCCAUGCUAGUGCAAAAUAUCAAAGAAAAAAUGGAUUCUAACCAGAUUCAGCUGAUAAUAAAAAAAUUAUGUUCAUAACAGUUCUCACCGUCGAUGACUACAGUACAUAUAUUGCUGGUAUCAUAGGCUACUGAAAGAGCAUUUGGUAUAGUAAGAAUAUAGUUUGUUUCAUAUUUGUAAAUGGUUAGAGUUGAUGAUUUAGUAUUUUAUUUGGAUAAGAAUGUACAAGUAUCAUUAUUUAGUUUGCUUAAUUAUGUAUUCUUAACUUUUCAUAGUUUUAUAUGGGAUCUGUAUGGGCAAGAAGCAAUCAAUUACUUUGGGGCAUAAAGCAAAGUAACAGGAAGGUUAGUUUGUGCAUGCUGUGUUGAAGAAAACUAUGUAGCUACAGUAUAUUUGUAUCUGUUAUAAAGGUACAAGUGCACAACCACUUUACUAGAAUUUGAAACAUUUAGGAUGGAGAUGUACACAUUCCCACGGAUUUCUUAUUUUUCAACUUUCAAGUCGUUUCUACGAGUUGAGUGUAGUAGCUGUAAAGUUUACCUCGGUACUUUUAUUGCAUUCACCUCUCAAAAAUGGUUUGAAAGAGAGGAAGUUAUGUCACCCAUCUCAUAUUUUCACUUGUUUUCCAACUUGUGCCUGAAGAAGGAAGACUGGAUGAAUACAGUGGUCAUCCGCAGAUGUCCAUUUUUCACGUUUAUGUUUCACAGAUUUACGAGACGUUAAUUUUUACUUUCAUUCAUUUUGUUUCAUAGAUUUUGGAGACAUUAGUUUUUCGUUUUUCAUUAAUUUAUGAUGGCCUUGUAAAGUUUAACUCAUUUUGGAAAGUAAAUCCACUUGAACAUAUCAUACAUGCUACAUGCUUUAACACACACACAAGCAAGUACUGUACAGUAUUGUUCAUGAUUUUACCUGCACCAAGUCACCAAACUGUCUCAGUCAUGAUUGCACGCUGCCCUGUUUUGCAAUAUAUUACAUUGCAAAACAUCAAAUUGAUAUCUCGCUAGAUAAAAGUGAGAUCAAUAGAGGGAAAAAAUCAUGAUUAUCCAGAAAAAGGUUGAAAAGUUUAUUCAUGUUACCAAGCCAUCUUACAACAAGCCAUUUCCUUGUGUUACUGAGGUUUACAUAAUGUAUGUUAGAAAGAUAGAAGCUGUAGUGUACAUGAUUUAGUGUAGAUUAGGUUGUUUAAUAUUAUAAGUGAAAGUUUUCCUACCUUGAAGUAGUUCACAUUCUUGAGCUAUGCAAAUCUAACCCGUUGAGAAGUUAGCUUGGCACAUUUAUCAUUUGCUCAGAUUUAACCUACCUGGUAGUACUGUAUUUGUGAUUCACAGUUUUGAGUAACUUUUUGUACUGAACUGUGAAGAUUUUCAAUGUACAGUACUGUAUUACUGUGCUUUGUUCAUUGUUUUCCAUGAGCACUGAUCAAACAGACAAGAGAGUUUGCUGUACAGUAUAAUAAAGUGUAAGUUAUGAUAAUGUCAACACUUGCAAUAUAUCAGCUAUAGGUAUUGACAGAUAUUUAUGGAUGUUCACAAUCAUGUUACUUGGUAUUUCUCAGUCAAAAGGUUUGCAUUGUAGUAAUAGCACAUACACAGUGCUAAUCAUGCUCAAAAGUUGUGCACUGAUAUUUCUAUUUGUCAUGUAAAGGCUUUGCAUUAUACUAACCAAUCUUGCCUUAGGCAGACAUCAUACAGAGGGUUGGCAUCAAAGAUAUUUUUUAUGUAUUUAUUUAUUUAAUUUUUCCCAAGUACAGUAAAUACUGUAUGUAUUAUUUUAUUUCUGUUACUUGGAGGAAAACGGGAUGUGGUGGCUGUGCGGAUACAGCGCCUGCCUCCUGUUGUUGAGGUUGCUGCUUCUCGCCCAUGGUGCCUGCAGUUCACUCAGUCUUGUUCGAGGAAAGCACGAGAGAAACCCUUGCUGGAGAAUCACAGG